rnacentral:rRNA from 1 species
GGUCAGGAUGAACGCUAGCUACAGGCUAACACAUGCAAGUCAGGGGCAGCAUGGUCUUAGCUUGCUAAGACUGAUGGCGACCGGCGCACGGGUGAGUAACGCGUAUCCAACCUUCCCCCUGGUAGGGCAUAGCCCGGCGAAAGUCGGAUUAAUACCCUAUGUUAUCCGAAGAGGACAUCUGAUUUGGAUCAAAGAUUUAUCGCCAUGGGAUGGGGAUGCGUCCGAUUAGGUUGACGGCGGGGUGACGGCCCACCGUGCCCGCGAUCGGUAGGGGUUCUGAGAGGAAGGUCCCCCACAUUGGAACUGAGACACGGUCCAAACUCCUACGGGAGGCAGCAGUGAGGAAUAUUGGUCAAUGGUCGAGAGACUGAACCAGCCAAGUAAGCGUGCAGGACGACGGCCCUAUGGGUUGUAAACUGCUUUUAUGCGGGGAUAAAGUGAGGGACGUGUCCCUUUUUGUAGGUACCGCAUGAAUAAGGACCGGCUAAUUCCGUGCCAGCCGCCGC